AUUAGGCCAUCCUUGAAUUUUUAUACUUGCAAAGCUAUAUACCCACACAAAAUGUGAAAUCGAAGCAUAAGUACUCAGAAAAAAUUUAAAGCUUAAAUUGCGGUUCUUAAAAAGUGAAAUGAAGAGAAGCUACCAGACACCACAAGUUAUGCUCAUACUACAGCAAACAAAAUAGCAAAAGCACCGCAUGUUAUGAAUGCAACGGUUUGAGGUACCUUCUUCAAAUAAUUGCUGCAAAAAGAAGUCUGUGACUCAGUUACCCCAAACUGCAAACAAAACCUGGCUAUGAGCAUAACUGGCCUACAGUCCUGGCCAUUUGGCAGCACAGGCUCUAUUACCCUUUUCAUAUGGAGCUCUCUGAAUUUCCUCAACCUCUCCUCCCUCUUCUGGGCGGCCAACUCCUCAGCUGCAGUGGGCGCAGAUUCCUCGUCGGAGCUGGCAGAAGAGGCCUAGAACAACAAACGUGAGUUAUUUGAUUUGAUUUAAAGGAGGGAGGUUUGCAUCCAGGGCUCGACAGCACAAUGUUUUGAACCAGGGUAUCAGAGACGGUGCCACCACCUCCCUCCAACCUACCCCCAGACU